rnacentral:rRNA from 1 species
UAUGUGAUCGUCUCUCGCUAUCAAUAAGCGGAGGAAAAGAAACUAACAAGGAUUCCCCUAGUAACGGCGAGUGAAGCGGGAAGAGCUCAAAUUUGAAAUCUUAAAGGGUUUCCCUUUACGAAUUGUAGUUUAAAGAAGUGUUUUCUGUUGAGGUUUUGGUAAAAGUUCUUUGGAAUAGGACAUCAUAGAGGGUGAGAAUCCCGUAUUUGACCUUUACUUUCAACUUUGUGAUACACUUUCAAAGAGUCGGAUUGUUUGGGAAUGCAGUCCAAAAUGGGUGGUAAAUUUCAUCUAAAGCUAAAUAUUGGCGAGAGACCGAUAGCGAACAAGUACCGUGAGGGAAAGAUGAAAAGAACUUUGAAAAGAGAGUUAAACAGUACGUGAAAUUGUCAAAAGGGAAGCGUUUGACACCAGUGUUGUUUUUCUGAAAAUCAAUUAAAGAACUGUUUAUGCUAAGCUGUUUAGACUUUAUCAGCUAUCUGUUUAGUUUUGAGCUUUUCUUUAAUGCACUUUUCAGUUAACAAGUCAACAUCAAUUUCUUUUGCUGUAAAAAAGCUUGAGGAAGGUGGCUUGAGAUUCGUCUUAAGUGUUUAUAGCCUCUUGCCUAUGCAGUCGGAGAGAUUGAGGUCUGCAGCGUAGAUCCUUCGGGGCUAAAUGCAUUUGUGCUAAGUUAUAGCAUUUUAUAGACAACUUGUUGACUAUGAUUUGUCUUGUAGCUUACUCGCUUAUGUUAUUUUACCUACGCUUAGGAUGUUGAGCGCAUGUCUCUCUCU